UUUCUUUUUUUUUUUUCCCACCCCCUCCACUUUUAAAAAGCUUCCUCCUUAUCUAAGCUGACGGGCACACUUGGGACUCCCUCGCUGUCCUUCUCCGCCUCUAGCUCUCUCCCCAUAAACUCAAGAUUAUGUCAGUUGAUUAGAACUAGCCAGGGAUUUCGUGCGGGUGUUGAAGGAGCUGCGGGAGCCGGAGAAGAAUGAAACUGCGUGGAGUCACCCUGGCUGCCGGCUUGUUCUUACUGGCCCUGAGUCUUUGGGGGCAGCCUGCAGAGGCUGCGGUUUGCUAUGGGUGUUCUCCAGGAUCAAAAUGUGACUGUAGUGGUGUAAAAGGAGAAAAGGGGGAGAGAGGAUUUCCAGGUUUGGAAGGCCAUCCAGGUUUGCCUGGAUUUCCAGGUCCAGAAGGGCCUCCAGGGCCUCGGGGACAAAAGGGUGAUGAUGGAAUUCCAGGGCCACCGGGACCAAAAGGAAUCAGAGGUCCUCCUGGACUUCCUGGAUUUCCAGGGACACCAGGUCUUCCUGGAAUGCCAGGCCAUGAUGGGGCCCCAGGACCUCAAGGUAUCCCUGGAUGCAAUGGAACCAAGGGAGAACGUGGAUUUCCAGGCAGUCCCGGUUUUCCUGGUUUACAGGGUCCUCCAGGACCUCCUGGGAUCCCAGGUAUGAAGGGAGAACCAGGCAGUAUAAUUAUGUCAUCACUGCCAGGACCAAAGGGUAAUCCGGGAUAUCCAGGUCCUCCUGGAAUACAAGGCCCAGCUGGUCCCAUUGGUUUACCAGGGCCAAUUGGUCCCCCAGGACCACCAGGUUUGAUGGGCCCUCCUGGUCCACCAGGACUUCCAGGACCAAAGGGGAAUAUGGGCUUAAAUUUCCAGGGACCCAAGGGUGAAAAGGGUGAGCAAGGUCUUCAGGGCCCCCCUGGGCCACCUGGGCAGAUCAGUGAGCAGAAAAGACCAACUGAUGUAGAGUUUCAGAAAGGAGAUCAGGGACUUCCUGGUGACCGAGGGCCUCCUGGACCUCCAGGGAUACGUGGUCCUCCAGGGCCUCCAGGUGGUGUGAAAGGUGAGAAGGGUGAGCAAGGAGAGCCUGGCAAAAGAGGUAAACCCGGCAAAGAUGGAGAGAGUGGCCAACCAGGAAUUCCAGGUUUGCCUGGUGAUCCUGGUUACCCCGGUAAACCAGGAAGGCAUGGAGAAAAGGGCCAAAAGGGUGACGUUGGCCCAACUGGGCCUCCUGGACUUGUAAUUCCUAGGCCUGGGACUGGUGUAACUGUAGGAGAAAAAGGAAACAUUGGAUUACCCGGCUUGCCUGGAGAAAAAGGAGAGCGAGGACUUCCUGGAAUACAGGGUCCGCCUGGCCUUCCUGGACCUCCAGGGACUGCAGUUACCGGUCCUCCUGGCCCCCCCGGCUUUCCUGGAGAAAGGGGCCAGAAAGGUGAUGAAGGUCCACCUGGAAUUUCUGUUCCUGGAUCUCCUGGACUUGAUGGACAGCCUGGGGCUCCUGGACUUCCAGGGCCUCCUGGCCCUCCUGGCCCUCACAUCCCUCCUAGUGAUGAGAUAUGUGAAGCAGGCCCUCCAGGCCCUCCGGGAUUGCCAGGUGAUACAGGACUCCAAGGAGAACGAGGAGUGAAAGGUGACAAAGGUGACACCUGCUUCAACUGUAUUGGAACUGGUGUUUCAGGGCCUCCAGGUCAACCUGGUCUACCAGGUCUUCCAGGUCCUCCAGGAUCUCUUGGUUUCCCUGGACAGAAGGGAGAAAAAGGACAUGCUGGUCUAACCGGUCCCAAAGGAUUAACAGGCAUACCAGGAGCUCCAGGUCCUCCAGGCUUUCCUGGAUCUAAAGGUGAACCUGGAGAUAUCCUCACUUUUCCAGGAAUGAAGGGUGACAAAGGAGAAUUGGGUUCCCCAGGAGCCCCUGGGCUUCCUGGUUUACCUGGUACCCCUGGACAGGAUGGAUUGCCAGGGCUUCCUGGCCCCAAAGGAGAACCUGGUGGAAUUGCUUUUAAGGGUGAAAGAGGUCCCCCUGGGAAUCCAGGCCUUCCAGGUCUCCCAGGGAAUAGGGGGCCUAUGGGCCCUGUGGGUUUUGGCCCUCCAGGCCCUGUAGGUGAAAAAGGCAUACAAGGUGUGGCAGGAAAUCCAGGCCAGCCAGGAAUACCAGGUCCUAAAGGUGAUCCAGGUCAGACCAUAACCCAGCCAGGGAAGCCUGGCCUGCCUGGUAACCCAGGCAGAGAUGGUGAAGUAGGUCUUCCAGGUGAUCCUGGACUUCCCGGACAACCAGGCUUGCCAGGAAUACCCGGUAGUAAAGGAGAACCAGGUAUCCCUGGAAUUGGGCUUCCCGGACCACCUGGUCCCAAAGGUUUCCCUGGAAUUCCAGGACCUCCAGGAGCACCUGGGACACCUGGAAGAAUUGGUCUAGAAGGUCCUCCUGGGCCACCAGGCUUUCCCGGACCUCAGGGAGAAGCAGGACUUGGGCUGCCUGGGCCACCUGGACCCCCAGGACUCCCAGGUUUCAAAGGAACACUUGGUCCCAAAGGGGAUCGUGGUUUCCCAGGACCUCCAGGUCUUCCAGGACGCGCUGGCUUGGAUGGGCUCCCUGGACCAAAAGGUGAUGUUGGGCCAAAUGGACAACCUGGGCCAAUGGGACCUCCUGGGCUUCCAGGAAUAGGUGUUCAGGGACCACCAGGGCCACCAGGGAUUCCUGGACCAGUAGGCCAACCUGGCCUGCAUGGAAUACCAGGAGAGAAGGGAGACCCAGGGCCUCCUGGAUUUGAUGUUCCAGGACCCCCUGGAGAGAGAGGCAGUCCAGGAAUUCCUGGAGCACCUGGUCCUAUGGGACCCCCAGGAACACCAGGGCUUCCAGGAAAAGCAGGUGCCUCUGGAUUUCCAGGUACCAAAGGUGAAAUGGGUAUGAUGGGACCUCCAGGCCCACCAGGACCUCUGGGAAUUCCUGGCAGGAGUGGUGUUCCUGGUCUCAAAGGUGAUGAUGGUUUGCAGGGUCAGCCAGGACCUCCUGGCCCUGUAGGAGAAAAAGGUGGUAAAGGAGAGCCUGGCCUUCCAGGCCCUCCUGGACCAGUGGAUCCAGAUCUAUUGGGCUCAAAAGGAGAGAAGGGGGACCCUGGCUUACCGGGUAUUCCUGGAGUUCCAGGGCCAAAAGGUUACCAGGGUUUGCCUGGAGACCCAGGGCAACCUGGACUGAGUGGACAACCUGGAUUGCCAGGACCAUCAGGUCCCAAAGGUAACCCUGGUCUUCCUGGGAAUCCAGGACUUACAGGACCUCCUGGACUUAAAGGAAGCAUAGGUGAUAUGGGGUUUCCAGGCCCUCAGGGUGUGAAAGGGUCUCCUGGACCUCCUGGAGUUCCUGGACAACCUGGCUCCCCAGGAUUACCUGGACAGAAGGGAGAAAAAGGUGAUCCUGGUGUUUCAGGCAUUGGUCUUCCUGGUCUUCCCGGCCCAAAGGGUGAACCUGGUCUGCCUGGAUACCCAGGAAACCCUGGAAUCAAAGGUUCUAGGGGAGAUACUGGUUUGCCUGGAUUACCAGGGACCCCUGGAGCAAAAGGACAACCAGGCCUUCCUGGAUUCCCUGGAACCCCAGGACUUCCUGGAGCAAAAGGUAUUAAUGGUCCUCCUGGGAACCCUGGCCUUCCAGGAGAACCUGGUCCUGUAGGUGGUGGAGGUCGUCCUGGGCCACCAGGUCCUCCAGGUGAAAAAGGCAACCCAGGUCAAGACGGUAUUCCUGGACCAGCUGGACAGAAGGGCGAACCAGGUCAGCCGGGCUUUGGAAUCCCAGGACCCCCUGGACUCCCAGGACUUUCUGGUCAAAAGGGUGAUGGAGGAUUACCUGGCAUUCCAGGAAACCCUGGCCUUCCUGGUCCAAAGGGAGAACCAGGCUUUCAGGGUUUCCCUGGUGUGCAGGGUCCCCCAGGCCCUCCUGGUUCUCCAGGUCCAGCUCUGGAAGGCCCUAAAGGCAACUCUGGGCCCCAGGGUCCUCCUGGGAGACCAGGUCCUCCAGGUUUUCAAGGUCUACCAGGUCCAGAAGGUCCCCGGGGUCUCCCUGGAAAUGGAGGUAUUAAGGGAGAGAGAGGAAACCCAGGCCAACCUGGGCAACCUGGUUUGCCUGGUUUGAAAGGAGACCAAGGACCACCAGGACUCCAGGGUAAUCCUGGCCGACCAGGUCUCAAUGGAAUGAAAGGAGAUCCUGGUCUCCCUGGUAUUCCAGGAUUUCCAGGCAUGAAGGGACCCAGUGGAGUACCUGGUUCAACUGGCCCUGAGGGGGAUCCAGGACUUGUUGGCCCCCCAGGUCCCCCUGGAUUACCUGGUGCUUCAGGACAGAGUAUUAUAAUCAAAGGAGAUGUUGGUCCACCAGGGAUCCCAGGCCAGCCUGGAUUAAAAGGUCUGCCUGGACUACCAGGACCUCAAGGCUUACCAGGUCCAGUUGGCCCUCCAGGAGAUCCGGGACGCAAUGGACUCCCUGGCUUUGAUGGUGCAGGAGGGCGCAAAGGAGAUCCAGGUCUGCCAGGCCAGCCAGGUACCCGUGGUUUGGAUGGUCCCCCUGGACCAGAUGGUAUGCAAGGUCCCCCAGGUCCUCCAGGAACUUCUUCUAUCGCCCAUGGAUUCCUCAUCACACGUCACAGCCAGACAACAGAUGCACCACAAUGCCCACAUGGAACUGUGCAGAUUUAUGAAGGCUUUUCUCUCCUGUAUGUUCAAGGAAAUAAAAGAGCUCACGGUCAAGACUUGGGGACGGCGGGCAGCUGCCUUCGUCGCUUCAGUACCAUGCCUUUCAUGUUCUGCAACAUCAAUAAUGUUUGCAACUUUGCUUCAAGAAAUGACUAUUCUUACUGGCUCUCCACCCCAGAGCCCAUGCCAAUGAGCAUGGAGCCCCUGAAGGGCCAGAACAUCCAGCCAUUUAUUAGUCGAUGUGCAGUAUGUGAAGCUCCAGCCGUGGUGAUUGCAGUUCACAGUCAGACCAUCCAGAUUCCCCAUUGUCCUCAGGGAUGGGAUUCUCUCUGGAUUGGCUACUCCUUCAUGAUGCACACAAGCGCAGGAGCAGAGGGCUCAGGUCAAGCCUUGGCCUCCCCAGGUUCCUGCUUGGAAGAGUUUCGUUCAGCUCCCUUCAUUGAAUGUCAUGGGCGGGGUACCUGCAACUACUAUGCCAAUUCCUACAGCUUUUGGCUAGCAACUGUAGAUGUGUCAGACAUGUUCAGCAAACCUCAGUCAGAAACACUGAAAGCAGGAGACUUGAGGACACGUAUUAGCCGAUGUCAAGUGUGCAUGAAGAGGACAUAACAUUUUGAAGAAUUCCUUGUGUGUUUUUAAAUGUGAUAUAUACAUAUAUAAAUUCCCAGGAUGCAACGUCUCACUCCUCCCAACUUUACCACUGCUGCCACCAAUGGUGCUACUAUAUAUGACCAAGAGAACAUGCUGACUAGUAACCAUGAAGAUACAGAAGUACCUCAACAACGUGCCAGAGCAAGGUCUCUAUUAGUUUUCUAUGAAUGAAAUAAGGAAUUUACUUCUUGGGUCCAGAAUGACUUUCCCCAGGAUUAUAAGAUGAAGAUUAUAUAUUUUGCCCAGUAACUUAAAACAGUAUGUUAAAAGUUAAAGAGAAGAAUCACACUGAGUAAAAUAAAAGACUGCAGUUUGGGGGAAGAAUUAUUUUUCAUGGUGCUACUAAUCUUACUGUAUCCCAGGUUUUUAAUAUAAAAGUGUUAAGCUUAUUUUGCUCUGUAAGUAAAGAAUGUGUAUAUUGUAUAAACAGCCUUUUAGCUCAAAGUGUUGACUCAUUUCGAUGUGACCUGACAUGUAUCACUCUUUAUAGACAACCUAUGCAAAUGUAGAAUACAGACAACAAGAUUUUGUAUCCAUGUUUACCAAACUGAAAGAAUUUAUAUUCUUACAUCAAAUUACUACUAAGAGUAAAUUUAUUUUGAGUUCUAUCCCCUAAAUUCUUAUUUGACUUUUUUAAAAAAAUAUAGGUCAUUUUAGUCACUUUAAUCAGAAUUUUAAAUGUUCAUGUUACAUACCAAAUUAUAAUAUCUAAUAGAACAUUUUCUCUUUUGCUGUGUUCUUCAAGAUUAUUAAUACUAGAUGCCCUCUUUUUAAAUGUCUCUUACAUCUUGUUUUUGCUCAUCCCUAAUUAGGUAAAGUCCUGCCAAAUAAUUUUGAGAAACAAAAAUAUGCAAAAGAUGAUGAUUUGUUCCCUGUGCUUCUUCUGUAAGAACUAUUUUCCUGUGAUCUCUUGGUUAGUCUUCUCUCUUCAGUUACAAAGCCAAUUAAUGUUUCUUCCUCUUUUUUAAUUUUAAAACAUUUUAUUAUAAAUAGCCAUAGAAUACCUUAUUUCCCUAGUUGUCCUCUUUUCACUUCAUGUUUUUUAACUCACCAAUAUCGAUUUAAUUAAAGAUAUCCUAUGUUGUAA